rnacentral:rRNA from 1 species
GAGUUUGAUUCUGGCUCAGGAUGAACGCUAGCGAUAGGCUUAACACAUGCAAGUCGAGGGGCAUCACGGGAUUAGCUUGCUAAUCUUGGUGGCGACCAGCGUAAGGGUGCGUAACGCGUAUGCAACUUGCCUGUCAGUGGGGAAUAACCCGGAGAAAUCCGGACUAAUACCGCAUACACUUUGGUUUCCGCAUGGGACUUUAGGAAAGAUUUAUUGCUGACAGAUAGGCAUGCGUUCCAUUAGAUAGUUGGUGAGGUAACGGCUCACCAAGUCGACGAUGGAUAGGGGAGCUGAGAGGCUUAUCCCCCACACUGGAACUGAGACACGGUCCAGACUCCUACGGGAGGCAGCAGUGAGGAAUAUUGGUCAAUGGGCGAGAGCCUGAACCAGCCAAGUCGCGUGAAGGAGGACGGUCCUAUGGAUUGUAAACUUCUUUAGUAGGUGAGUACAAGCAGUUACGUGAGCGUAGCAGUACCUAG